rnacentral:rRNA from 1 species
UACGUAGGCAGCGAGCGUUGUUCGGAAUUACUGGGCGUAAAGAGUGUGUAGGCGGUGCUCCCAGUCUGUUGUGAAAUCUCCCGGCUUAACUGGGAGGGUGCAGCGGAAACUAGAGUGCUAGAGGGUGGGAGAGGUAAGCGGAAUUCCUGGUGUAGCGGUGAAAUGCGUAGAUAUCAGGAGGACACCUGUGGUGUAGACAGCUUACUGGACCACUUCUGACGCUGAGACACGAAAGCGUGGGUAGCAAACAGG